rnacentral:rRNA from 1 species
GAUGAACGCUAGCUACAGGCUUAACACAUGCAAGUCGAGGGACCGGCGCACGGGUGAGUAACACGUAUCCAACUCUCCCUUUACUCGGGGAUAGCCUUUCGAAAGAAAGAUUAAUCCCCGCUAUAAAGGAUGGGGAUGCGUUCCACUAGGUUGUUGGUGAGGUAACGGCCCACCAAGCCUUCGAUGGAGAGGGGUUCUGAGAGGAAGGUCCCCCACAUUGGAACUGAGACACGGUCCAAACUCCUACGGGAGGCAGCAGUGAGGAAUAUUUGGCGAUGGGCGUUAGCCUGAACCAGCCAAGUAGCGUGAAGGAUGAAGGCUUAUGGGUCGUAAACUUCUUUUAUAUAAGAGUAUGUAUUAUAUGAAUAAGGAACGGCUAACUCCGUGCCAGCAGCCGCGGUAAUUC